rnacentral:lncRNA from 1 species
GGAUCGUCAAUGCGUAAAACUGUUAUUGUCAGACAUGCGUUUAGUGUGUGUGAGGGAGUUCUUAAUUAACCAUGUUUAACGUUGUGAUAUUUGUACUUCUAUGUAUUGUGACUGUUGUCUCAUGCAGAGAGAUUGAGCCAAGUGAUAAUCAGCAAAUUUGCUUGCCGUUUAAGGCUCAUAUCAUCUGAGACCGAAGCAAUGAGGAAGAUACAUUUGAUGUUCAAGUACAUUAUGUUCUACAAAUUAUAAACAAUGCACCUGAAGGAACCAAUAUUCGUUUGGACACGGUAAAUGAAAAGUUAAGAAAUGUAAUGGACACUAUUAAAAUAAACGGCCAAAAGCAAGACUGGAUUCACAGUACAACUAAUGUUACUCAAAGACUAUCCGAAUACAAUAUAAUUUCAUACAAAUCUUUAAAGGAAGCCAUAAUAAGUAACUUUCAGAAAAAUGAGACAGCAGCUGAAGAGAUAUUUUUCAUUGUUAAUUACAAGUCAGAGAUAGAUGACAAAGAAAAAGCAUUUAGGGAGUUAAAGAGGAGAAAGGUGUUUGUCGUAUUUCACGGAACCAAAAGUCCACCAUCUGAAUUCUGGACAAAUCUCGCCACGGAUAAACAUCAUGUACUUGAACCAAACGAAAAUAUUGAUGAGAAUGUAGAUGUAUUUCUAAACCUAGUGUGUCGAGAUUCGACACUUUACUGUAGUACUGACAUGUACUGGAAUGGCACAGGGUGUUUCAGAUGUAGCUUCAUAUGUUCAAAGAUGCCGUGUGAAUAAUGCCAAACUGAGUGCCCUUAUUUUAACCAGUUCAAACCGGAUGUUGAGAUUUCAGAUGAACUGCCUGAUUCGCGUGCUUAUACAUCUAACAACACUACGAUGUUUGUCCUUGUUCUAUUGACCUUCAUACUCCAAUGUAUUCUUGUUUUGAAAGUCUGCAUUAAACCUAAGCAAUUUUUGAAGAAAUUUGAAAAAAAUCAUGAGCCUGAACAAACAAAGUGAUACGACUCUGAAAGAUGUGGCAAAUCAGGAAAAUAAUACCCUGCCUUCCGAUGGUAGAGAAGUUACUUUUUCAAACAGGAAUGGUGUACAAGAUUAUUUAUUAACAGAAGCAAAUGGCAGACGUGGUGAAACCAUGGCAGCACAAAAUGGUGAUGGAUCACGAGAGCGGAGGAAGAAUAACUUGUUUUAGGUGCAGAUGGGAGUAUCCGGCCUCGAAGGCUGUGCCGAGUUACCGUGUAAACAGUUACCCGGGAGCCGGAUAUUCUCUUCUGCAGCUAUAGCUUGUCUGUGUUCAGACUCUGUGUUUUGAUUACAGUAGAUAACUCCUGAGGCUAAUCAAAUUUUGUAUAAGUAUGUCCCUUUUCUUCUCAAAACACUGGGUCUAUGAAUCCUGGAGAUCGACUUUUAAUCAUGUCAAGCUAUUACAGCAGAUAAUGAUCUUGUUAUGUGGACUGAUGAUUCAAGGAUAUUUAAUGCCAUUCACGCAUGUGAUAAAUAGACCCUGUUGUUAAAAACUUUGAUUUGUAGAUUAGCGGUCAGUACUUUACUCUUUAUUGAAAACAUGUUGCACUACAAAGGAUACCUAAUGGAUAACUGCUAUGUAGUGGAUAAAUAAUGUUGCUUGCAUAAAAUUCAAAUACUUUUACAUAUCAUGUUUUUGAAAUCUAAAUGUAAGAAUAUGUAAUAGAAAAAAAAAGUGUUAUACAGAUGCAAGAUUCUACAGAAUAAUGCAAUAGUUCGUUGCUAAAACUAGGAAAUGCUAAGACUGUUUGACAUUAUUUUUCAUAUAUUGUUAACAGGUAUAAUGUUUUGGAGACAAGCUCUGGACAUGUGACUUUUAUAUUGUGGACAUAUAUUUAUAAUUUUGCUCAGCUGACUAAAUAUGACUGUAUAGUUUAUUUGUCACUCUGAUUCUUUUUUGUUGACAAUUUCUUACAUAUUUCUUGACUUAUGAUGCCGCAAGUAAACCCCCUUCUGGAGUAAGACUGUGUUAAAUUGUGGCUGUGAUAUAAACAGUUACUUUCCACGUAUCGAGCUUACUUGCUUUCAUUGCAUAGCGAAAAUGCACUUUAUUUAAUUAACAAAAACAACAGUACAAUAACAGCUGCAAAAAUUGUAAAAAUUAUAUAUAAACAAAUGGUGUUAUUUCAAAACUCAGACUUUUGCUACUUCCUGUUGGUGCACAAUAGGUACCAGAUAUGACCGAAUUACACUUAUCUUUUUAUAUUUUAAGACAUAAAAUCUACAGGAGUCCAUUGUUAAAGUAUUUAUCAUUCCCUAUGUCCUUCUUUAUCCCAAUAUCUGUUUAACAACAUAUUUACUAGAUAUAUGGGCCGUUCCUUAAGAAAACCUGAAAAAGUAACAUGACAUAACUAUUAAAUAAUAAGUUGUUUAAAGCACAGGAAAAGCAGACGGAUUUAAAAGCAUUGUAGUUCUUGAAGUAGUGAAGAUAAUUACUUCAAAUUUUCAUAUUUGAAAGGGAAAAUAAUGUCCUUCAUGACUAUUUUGUCAUCUCAGUUUUGAUUUUUGUCACUAAUACAUGUUUUCUCACGGAAUGGCCCAUACAUAUGAUGGGCAUGUUCUUAUCUCUGGUCUGGCCUGGCCUGGCCCGAUGAGCCAAAUUUUCGACUUGGCUAGGCCACUAUUAGAUAUAACUUACUAAUAUUCAAGGUAACAUACAUGUACUUUUACAUACUUUCUAUAUAUUAAUAUCACCGAUAAGAAGACUUGUUGAUGUCUUUUCAUUUAAGUAUUAUUGUUAUUACAUGACUGGGCAAUUAAAUGCUUUUUCGUUUUAUUAGCCAGACUAGAUUUUAAAAAUGAAACUGAAUCUCAGCUCAGGCAUGUGCUGACCUCCUGUUAACUAAAUGCUGAUUAAGAUCCCUUUCUACAAGAGAACUAUAUUGCAGUGUACCAUACUUGUGAUUAGUCAGCUAAGGGUUUAUCAUGAAAUAUCGGUCACAAGCCCUGAGCAGAUUUUACCAGAUUAGAUGUUCAGAGCCAGGAAAGAUUGGUCUGAAUAUACAAGAGGAAUGAUUUAAAAAAUAAUUAAAAACAUUAUCUAGUCAGUAGCCAGACUACACCUACAGCCAGUGAUAGAUAUUUUACAGUGCAUACCAUAUUCAAGAUAUAAUAAUAAAAU